AUCGAUGAAGAACGCAGCGAAAUGCGAUAAGUAAUGUGAAUUGCAGAAUUCAGUGAAUCAUCGAAUCUUUGAACGCACAUUGCGCCCGCUAGUAUUCUGGCGGGCAUGCCUGUUCGAGCGUCAUUUCAACCAUCAAGCCCUAGGCUUGUGUUGGGGCCCUGCGGCCGUCCGCAGCCCCCUAAAAACAGUGGCGGGCUCGCUAUAUACCGAGUGCAGUAGUUUACUCUUCGCUCAGGACAUGUAGUGGGUUCUUGCCGUAAAACCCCCCAUUUUUAAAGGUUGACCUCGGAUCAGGUAGGAAUACCCGCUGAACUUAAGCAUAUCAAUAAGCGGAGGAAAAGAAACCAACAGGGAUUGCCUCAGUAACGGCGAGUGAAGCGGCAACAGCUCAAAUUUGAAAUCUGGCUCCGGCCCGAGUUGUAAUUUGCAGAGGAAGCUUCUGGUGAUAUACUGUCUAAGUCCCCUGGAACGGGGCGCCACAGUGGGUGAGAGCCCCAUAUGACAGAUGUAGAUCCCGUGUGAAGCUCCUUCGACGAGUCGAGUAGUUUGGGAAUGCUGCUCUAAAUGGGAGGUAAAUUCCUUCUAAAGCUAAAUAUUGGCCAGAGACCGAUAGCGCACAAGUAGAGUGAUCGAAAGAUGAAAAGCACUUUGAAAAGAGGGUUAAACAGCACGUGAAAUUGUUGAAAGGGAAGCGCUUAUGACCAGACUUGCGCUGGGCUGAUCAUCCGGUGUUCUCACCGGUGCACUCGGCCCAGCUCAGGCCAGCAUCGGUUUUGGUGGGGGGAUAAAGGCAUUGGGAACGUAGCUCCUUCGGGAGUUUUAUAGCCCAGCGUGCAAUACCCCCGCUGGGACCGAGGUUCGCGCAUCUGCAAGGAUGCUGGCGUAAUGGUCAUCAGCGACCCGUCUUGAAACACGG
rnacentral:rRNA from 1 species